GGGGAUGUAGUGUACGGUGCACGGCUGCUUUCUUCGGUCGCUGAUCUGACACAUAUAAGCAAGCAGCAAGACGGGGUUCGACUCCCCGCGUCCCCA